rnacentral:rRNA from 1 species
AGCAGCCGCGGUAAUUCCAGCUCCAAUAGCGUAUAUUAAAGUUGCUGCAGUUAAAAAGCUCGUAGUUGAAUUUCGGGACCAUCAUGUCGGUCGUGCCUCGGUACGUACUGGCAUUGUUGGUUUCUACCUUCUGACGAACCAUGAUGUCAUUUAUUUGGUGUCGUGGGAAAUCAGGACUGUUACUUUGAAAAAAUUAGAGUGUUUAAAGCAGGCUCACGCUUGAAUACAUUAGCAUGGAAUAAUGAAAUAGGACGUUUGAUUCUAUUUUGUUGGUUUCUAGGAUCGACGUAAUGAUUAAUAGGGAUAGUUGGGGGCAUUAGUAUUCAAUUGUCAGAGGUGAAAUUCUUGGAUUUAUUGAAGACUAACUACUGCGAAAGCAUUUGCCAAGGAUGUUUUCAUUAAUCAAGAACGAAAGUUAGGGGAUCGAAGACGAUCAGAUACCGUCGUAGUCUUAACCAUAAACUAUGCCGACUAGGGAUCGGAUGAUGUUAAUUUUUUAA